UAGAGAUCACUAAUUAAAUUAUUUUGGAAAGAAUUUCUAAGUACACUAUGGAUCCACCCCCCUGGACAGAAUUGGAUCCCCCAGAAACUUUCAGAAUACAAGAAAGAGAAGAGCAGCGAGCGGUUCCCUCAGGAGGUGAAGGUUCUCUGAGGGUGGAACCCUGAUUAAGUGCCUGCCUUUCUAGCUGCGGAUAUGAGUCAAGAAAUGAUUCCUGGUUUUCCUUUUGAAGGAGGUUUUGAGGUUUACUCAAAGUGAAGGAUCUUCCAUUCCCCGCCCCGGGACUCCUUCUCGGUUCCUGCUCAGAGUUCUGCUUCUCGCCUCCUCCAGGCCCGCGAUCCUGACCAUCGGAGGCCCAGUGAAACCGCUGGGGUUGCUGACAUGGCCACAGGGCCACCCUGCGUGCUUCCUCCGACGCUCUUGCCGGGAAUCCACACCGAGGCCUGGAGCACCCUGGCUUCCCUGGGGGGUAGAGGGGAGCCCAGAGGGCUGAGAGUCCGAGCAAAGCUUUGGGAAAGACCAGAAUUCAGCACCAUAUGUGACAGCGGAGAGAAAGUGGGCCGGGUUGGAUUCGGGGUGGGGAGCUUCCCGGGCCGGCAGAGGGAGGAGAGCGGGUAGGAGCGCCCUGAAUGGGGUGUGGUGUGCCUUGACCUCUGGAUCAGGGCUGGCGUCACGUUCAUGUGGCCUCUGCGGUCACACAAGGCCUUGCUCUGCUUUUUGUGCUCUGCUGUCAUUGUUUUGAAAUUAAUAACGUUUGAACAAUGA